rnacentral:rRNA from 1 species
CCUACGGGGGACGCAGUGAGGAAGAGUGGUCAAGGGACGAGAGUCGGAACCAGGCAAGGAGGGUGAAGGAGGACGGUCCUACGGGUUGUAAACUUCUUUUAUAUGGGAAUAAAACGUUCCACGUGUGGGAUGUUGUAUGUACCAUAUGAAUAAGGAUCGGCUAACUCCGUGCCAGCAGCCGCGGUAAUACGGGGGAUGCGAGCGUUAUCCGGAUUGAUUGGGGUUAAGGGGGGCGGAGGCGGGAUGCCAAGGCCGAGGUAAAAAUGCGGUGCGAAACGCCGUCGAGCCGUUGAAACUGGCGUUCUUGAGUGGGCGAGAAGUAUGCGGAAUGCGUGGUGUAGCGGUGAAAUGCAUAGAUAUCACGCAGAACUCCGAUUGCGAAGGCAGCAUACCGGCGCCCUACUGACGCUGAGGCACGAAAGCGUGGGUAUCGAACAGGAUUAGAUACCCCUGUAGUC